UAUCAUUGGCACAAAUGGGCAAACCCGUAUGUAGACUCACCUUGAGCGUCAAGCUGGAUGACAGGUCAAGGGUAUGGAUGAAAAACAAUUUGAAGUAGACGAGAUACUUUUAUGUACUCAACUUUUUCAAUGGCCGGAAAUGAAAGUAGCAAUGACAAAGCAUUCUGAACAGUAACGACAACAAAAUAUUUCGAUGGUCAAAGUACAAAAAGCGACAGAUAGUGACAGAAAUAGAGUAAAAGUUCACUGAUGAAUUGCCAAUAGAGUAAUUGAUCUCGAAAGUAGCUGUGUGAAACCUUUUGACCAGUGACCGCGAAGGAUGUGGUUGCAGAGGACAAGUCAUCGUCUGCAACUAAGUACUGUAGUUUCAUCUAAAGAAAGUGCAGCAGAGUAAGAAGCUACGACGACGACAAAGAGGAGAGAAUUGGAAGCUAAAAGAUCACACGAGAAACUGAGGUAAAAAGGAGGGUAUUGGUUCCCUUUUGUUUAAUCAGUCUGUCUGAAAUUUACUGAUUCGACUAAUUCAGAUACUCAUCGAAAGGCCCAUUAAGAAGUUUUUCAUUUCAUGGCUCCAACUCCAAACUUUUAAUAAAUACAAAUGGAUCUCAAUAUGAUGCCUCAGGGAUUAUUUUUUCUUCUUUUCUAUAUGGACAUUUGCUUUAGGAGUGACUUGUCAUUGUCCAUUUAAAUAUUCGAAUCGAAUUAUUCCCUGCCAAAAUGCAUAUGGAAAUGGUCUUUGUAAAGUGA